ACGUUCUAAAAACAAAGAAUAACAAACGAAAUUAAUAUGCUACUUUCUUGGAUUCGCCCUUCACGCGCCUACAGUGAAAACUAAGUUUUCACGAGCGUAACUGUCAUUGCGGCAUGACCUCACGCUGGGCGCUCAGCUUGAACAGGUAGGGCAUUCUGCCCCUUUUCCCUGCUGUGUAAAUAAGCAGUUCAAAAACCGUAAAAUAAUCUCUAUGUCUGCUGUACAUAGAACGACGACAAUGAGAAUAUCCUUUCUUUCCUGUUUAAAACACUUCUGCGAAAACCUUCGUGCUAAUUUAGUUCGUCUUAGUUCAUUGCCAUGAAGGCAUCUACUUAGUUGCCAAGAGUAACAGGCGCGCGGCAUUUUGUGAAACUGUCCUCCGUUUGUGGCAAGCAGAUAACUUCCCUGGUUCAUGCUUGACUGCUCCAUAAAAGAGCGGGCAAGGAGUGGUGUUUGUAGACCGCUAUCUCCAGCGGCGCGCACACACACAAGAGUAUGCGCGAAGUUAUAAGGCGUCUUAAGAGCGUGCCAUAAACGGCGGUGCGGCUACGCAAACAGAAAGAAGCGCGAGCGAACUGCGAGCAAGUACUCAACCGUGUCCACUACGAUUACCUAACUUAUCUGCCUUCGUUAAAAGAGGUCAAUGACUAAUACUGAAGUGACGAUCAAAAUGCUCGACGAAUUUCGCAAGAAUACGGAACGUUGUUGUAAAACAUCGGCACCUUAAGAUUUGGAAACACGCGAGCGUUUUAUAACACCGGAAACCAGGUGGAAAGUUGGGUAAUAAAACGACUCCAGUAUCUCACUUUUCAGAAAUAGUAAGCCCUUUAUAAAAAUAACUAAAAAUGGUCCAAAUACAACAUGAAAAAUCAAUAAAAUUUAAAUGAAUUAUACUAUUGCAGUAGAUGUAAAAUAUAUUGCAGUACAAACAUUUAAAGAUUGUAUAUUAACCCUGGAAAAUGUGACACUAGACCAAUAAGCUUAAGACUUAUGCCUAUUCACUAUUCAAAUGCUGUUCUGGGAAAUGGUUUAAUUCAGUGACAAUUAAUCUAUUACCAUAGAAACAUACAUAGCAAAUUUUUUAAAAUAUAUCCUGCUACUGUUUCUCCUCACCUACUUUUUGAUACCUGUUUGAGGUAUGGUAAUGUAUGUAAAUACAACACUUAAGGAGAAAUUAACAGAUUAAGGCAUGCGUAUGUAUGUGUGUGGGAUAGAAUGUAAAGUAACUCAUGAAAAAUUCCCAAAGUUAGUGCCAAAGUUUUUUUUGAAUUUUACACAAAAUCACAUUGCAAAGUAAAUUGCAGUUUUGCAAAAUACAGUUACAUUGAUAGUUGUAAAACCUAGGCAACCUUGAUUAGUGUGUUAAUUGCAAUAUACUUUGGCUCUGCUCAUGUGUAUAGACACCUAAAGGCAGGAUAACACGCCUUAAUGUCUUAAACUAGGGUUCCAAAACAUAUCAUGUCAUCUGUUUUGAAAGUUGGGAAAAAAAGUCAAUCUAGGCCUUAUUAAUGUUCUGCCUAUGAAAACUGCUCAUCUGUAUCAUAAUAACAAUAAGCCUCUGGCCUUCUAUAUAAACAUAUAAGGGGGUACAAUGAGAUAAGCCAGACACAGCGAUUCAGAUUGUUUGUAUGGAUGUAUCAACAUAUUCAAGUAAUAUAUUUUCUCUUCAACAAUUUCCUUGUGGUGAUUAAUAAACUUCUUUGUACUUGUUGAAUCUUUUGUUAAAUAUCCAAUGUAAGUGAGUGCUCAAUAACUUUAUAGACAAAUUGAAUUUAAGAAUACUGUCAUGUGUCACGAACACUUGAAAUCAAGGUAUAACGGAUAAACAACGUCCGGCGCCGUGGAGUGGUUAGCAAGGCUGCCUCCAAUGGAGGAAGACCAGUUCAAGGCAGAAACGUUGACGUGGAGUUCACCAAUUUUACACAAAGUACCGAAUAUAUUAUAUUAUUAAUCGCAAAGGGCACCGAAAAAUUUAAGGUGAUUAAAAGGAAUUACAAACAUAAAGUUUGGAAAUACAACGAAAAAAGGAAAACUUGCACAAAACUAACUCAUUAAAUUCUUGUUUAAAACUAUGUUUGCUUGCGUUACCAGAUGGCAAUAAAAAUUCUUUGUAUAUCUGGCUUAUUUUUCAAUUGUUAAUCAUCUAACAACUAGAUUUGCCAAUCUUUCAGCACAUAUUAGAUUCAUAUAGCGUCUUAAUUAGCAAAUCAUGCAUAUACACCAAACAAAAACACAACAUCACUACAAUGUUUAAUGAAAUUACAAUUAUAAACACAUUGUUUUAAAUUAAGAAGGCAGUAGGCAAAUAAAUAAAGAUAUAAGGUAGCUAACAUAGCUUAUGUAACAGUAUUACCUGCCUUGCCCACAAUUCUGUAACUGGUAUUUCAAUUUGCAACCUAGUGUUAUAAAUAUGUAAAGUUGCUAUGCAUAAUAUUGGCCUUGUAUGUUGUAUAUACCGAUUUUUUAGUAUGCUAUUAGUCCUCUGUAUUAAACUGAUUAAACCGUUUACACUUUGGCUUUUACAUUUGAACCAAGAUAUAUUAAGUUAGUACAUUGUCAUCACAUUGCCAAACCAUAUAUAUUCACAGUUUGUGUUUUACAAUUCUAUUUUGAAUGAUUAGCCUAUUAUUUAUAGCAAUGAUAAUAACAUGUAACUCUUAACAUUUAUGAAUAACAUUAUUAGGCAUUUUUCAUUCUAAUCAUACAAUUGAAAAUAUUACACAUAAAUAAAAAAUAAAAUAAGCACCAUACUGAAACCACAAUUUUUCUAUUUCUAUUGGUAUUAUAAUAGUGGUUCUCAACCUUUUCUGCUUACAAACAGGUAAAAUUUAAAACAAACUUUGCGGACCAACGGGCCUUCAAAAUUCAACUCAAAAUGUAAAUACGACAAAAUUAGCAAAGAAUUACGACAAACGACAAAAGUAUGCGAUUACGACAAAAGUGUGCAAAGAAAAAGACUUCAAUUUAAUGAGAAAUUUGAAGCUUUCUUUUUAAAACAUCUUGCACUUUGCAAUUGGGUAUAAAAUUAAUAUAUUUGGCGAACCGACUGAAAAGUCGCUGUAUUAGAACAAGCAGCAAUAAAAAACAUUUUACAGAACCAGAGUCGUGGCACACUGGUAAGGACGUCUGCCUCUAACCCAGGGAUAUUGGAUUAAAGCCAACGCAUUGUGGGCUUUUUUUUGGGCAAGACAGUGGCUCCUUACGGCUUGCGAAAUUAUCAACCAUAUGUACAUAUA